rnacentral:misc_RNA from 1 species
AAGUCGUAACAAGGUUUCCGUAGGUGAACCUGCGGAAGGAUCAUUACUAGAGCAAAGGAUAGACACUACCCUACUUCGGUAGGGUUUAGAGUCGUCGGGCCUCUCGGAGAAGCUCGGUCCUGAACUCCACCCUUGAAUAAAUUACCUUUGUUGCUUUGGCGGGCCGCCUCGUGCCAGCGGCUUCGGCUGUUGAGUGCCCGCUAGAGGACCACAACUCUUGUUUUUAGUGAUGUCUGAGUACUAUAUAAUAGUUAAAACUUUCAACAACGGAUCUCUUGGUUCUG